UACGUAGGGUGCAAGCGUUGUCCGGAAUUAUUGGGCGUAAAGAGCUCGUAGGCGGCCUGUCACGUCGACUGUGAAAACCCAGGGCUCAACCCUGGGCCUGCAGUCGAUACGGGCAGGCUAGAGUGUGGUAGGGGUGACUGGAAUUCCUGGUGUAGCGGUGGAAUGCGCAGAUAUCAGGAGGAACACCGAUGGCGAAGGCAGGUCACUGGGCCGCAACUGACGCUGAGGAGCGAAAGCAUGGGGAGCGAACAGG
rnacentral:rRNA from 1 species